AUUGAACGCUGGCGGCAGGCCUAACACAUGCAAGUCGAACGGUAACAGGAAGAAGCUUGCUUCUUUGCUGACGAGUGGCGGACGGGUGUGUAAUGUCUGGGAAACUGCCUGAUGGCGGGGGAUAACUACUGGAAACGGUACCUAAUACCGCAUAACGUCGCAACACCAAAAAGGGGGACCUUCGGGCCUCUUGCCAUCGGAUGUGCCCAGAUGGGAUUAGCUAGUAGGUGGGGUAACGGCUCACCUAGGCGACGAUCCCUAGCUGGUCUGAGAGGAUGACCAGCCACACUGGAACUGAGACACGGUCCAGACUCCUACGGGAGGCAGCAGUGGGGAAUAUUGCACAAUGGGCGCAAGCCUGAUGCAGCCAUGCCGCGUGUAUGAAGAAGGCCUUCGGGUUGUAAAGUACUUUCAGCGGGGAGGAAGGGAGUAAAGUUAAUACCUUUGCUCAUUGACGUUACCCACAGAAGAAGCACCGGCUAACUCCGUG
rnacentral:rRNA from 1 species